rnacentral:lncRNA from 1 species
GCUGAAGCUGGAGUUCCUGACUGUACAUGAUGGAUGGGAAGUAAGUGGCUCAUCUCCUGGCAGGCACUGAGGAGUGGAGUCCCAUUUUAUUUCUGAAUCACUCUGAAUGGCACACUACAAAGGUUGGAUGUGCUGCUGCCCUUUCCAUCUUAAAUGGACAGAAGCAGAAGUUGCGCGGAAUGAUUGUUUCACUUUGGAUUUGCGCGGGGUGCUGAAGUGGCCCGGAGCCGCGUGCUGCCAGUGUGUGUUAGGAGCAGUGUGGCUGCAGCCCACAGUACCACUGCAGGACCCACAUUGAGCCAAUCAGGAAAUCACAGACUGGCUGAGCCUGAGACUGGAAGAGCACCAAUUUGGUAGGUACCAAAUGCUCUUGCUUCUCUCUGGGUACGCUCUGUGUGUGUGUGUGUGUUCUAAUUUGUAACGCUGACAUUUUUAAUCUACACUCAUGAUAAUACUCACCAUUGCCUUUUACUGCCUAAUUCUGAGCUGGAUUGUGUUGGGAGAGAUGUUCUCCGCUAUCUCUCUCUCUCUCUCUCUCUCACUUUUCACUCUCGUUCUCUGCUGCACAGCCCUCUGCUGGAUUUAGCACGAGCGCUCACUCCCACCAGCAAUGAUAAAACACUGAAGAGGAAACAAAGGAUGACACCUCGUAAAACAUCACAGCAUUACAGGUCGUUUCACCCACCACACACACACACACACACACAGAAACACACACACAGCUUGCAUUGACAGAGAGAGAGAAGUAAAACCCAGUCGAUACAUAAGGCCAUAGAAGAUGAAGAUGAAGCCUGAAUUUAAAAGUGAUUAUAUCUGUACACACUGAUCAAUACAGUUCUACUCGUGCAGGUUAUAGCAGGGACUGAACUCUUCCUGGGAACUCCUGACUGUAGCUGCAGUACCAGCACUGUCCUGCUUCAUUAUAGCAGUUUUAAAGAAGCACUACAUUUCUUCUUCUUUCAUUUUUUUGCCCACUUAAAACCUCUGUAAUAUAAUCAAGAGGAAGAUGGAGGAUCACAAGCCAACAA